UGUUGGUACUAAAACUAAACAGAUAGAAAUUAAAGCAACUUACAGGUAAUGUGGACGGUCUAAAGACCGUUUGGGCCUUUAGGUAUGAGUGCGUUCUUCCUUGAGAUGCCGAAUCUGAAUCAAGGAGAGAGAUGACAGGUGAGGUCUAGAGUACUGGUGUGGUACCAGCCGAAGACCCUCCGAUGCCAAAGCAGGGUAUUCAAGGUUGUCCCGCAGAAUCGCCAGGGCAUGCCAAUCGCAUGCUUGAGGAUCGUUCGGUAUCUGGUACAGAUGAUCCGUUCGGUGAGGCGCUAGAGGGAAGGCUCGAUGAUUGAAUCGGUAGUAGACGCCGAUUCGCACUUGAAUGAUCUACCGUCGUUCUUUGUCCACGCGUCAUAGUGCGAGUGGAGGGUCAGAUAUGGUACAAACAAAGGCUUUGUCUGCAUUAUGGUUGCUGGGAGGAUUCUAGCUUGGCUUGGGUGGCUGGCUUCGGCUUUCUGUUUGUCUUUAUUUUUUCUUUCUGACAUUUUUGCUUCUGCUUAUCCUGCAAGAAUUCUCUGGUGAGGAAA